GACGAACGCUGGCGGCGUGCUUAACACAUGCAAGUCGAACGGAAAGGCCCUGCUUUUGUGGGGUGCUCGAGUGGCGAACGGGUGAGUAACACGUGAGUAACCUGCCCUUGACUUUGUGAUAACUUCAGGAAACUGGUGCUCAUACCGGAUAGGAUCUCCUGCUGCAUGGUGGGGGUUGGAAAGUUUCGGCUGUUGGGGAUGGACUCGCGGCUUAUCAGCUUGUUGGUGGGGUAGUGGCUUACCAAGGCUUUGACGGGUAGCCGGCCUGUGAGGGUGACCGGCCACAUUGGGACUGAGAUACGGCCCAGACUCCUACGGGAGGCAGCAGUGGGGAAUAUUGCACAAUGGGCGGAAGCCUGAUGCAGCAACGCCGCGUGCGGGAUGACGGCCUUCGGGUUGUAAACCGCUUUCGCCUGUGACGAAGCGUGAGUGACGGUAAUGGGUAAAGAAGCACCGGCUAACUACGUG
rnacentral:rRNA from 1 species